GAGUCUUUAGCUCAGUUGGUUAGAGCACCUCACUUUUAAUGAGGGGGUCGAUGGUUCAAGUCCAUCAAGACUCA
rnacentral:tRNA from 1 species